rnacentral:rRNA from 1 species
UACGUAGGUGGCAAGCGUUGUCCGGAUUUACUGGGCGUAAAGAGCGCGCAGGCGGUCGUUCAAGUCGCGUGUGAAAGCCCCCGGCUCAACUGGGGAGGGUCACGCGAUACUGAUCGACUCGAAGGCAGGAGAGGGAAGUGGAAUUCCCGGUGUAGUGGUGAAAUGCGUAGAUAUCGGGAGGAACACCAGUGGCGAAGGCGGUUCUCUGGGCAUUACCUGACGCUGGAGGAG